GACGAACGCUGGCGGCGUGCUUAACACAUGCAAGUCGAACGGAAAGGCCCUGCUUUUGUGGGGUGCUCGAGUGGCGAACGGGUGAGUAACACGUGAGUAACCUGCCCUUGACUUUGGGAUAACUUCAGGAAACUGGGGCUAAUACCGGAUAGGAGCUCCUGCUGCAUGGUGGGGGUUGGAAAGUUUCGGCGGUUGGGGAUGGACUCGCGGCUUAUCAGCUUGUUGGUGGGGUAGUGGCUUACCAAGGCUUUGACGGGUAGCCGGCCUGAGAGGGUGACCGGCAACAGUGGGACUGAGAUAGGGGCCGGACGCCGGCGGGAGGAAGAAGGGGGGAAGGUGGAAGAAGGGCGGGGAGCCGGAAGCAGCAAUGCCGGGGGAGGGAGGAAGGGCUGCGGGGUGGAAAAAGCGGUCGCCGGUGAAGAAGGGGGAGGGACGGGAAUGGGUAAAGAAACAACGGCUAACUACGGG
rnacentral:rRNA from 1 species